UAGAGGAAGUAAAAGUCGUAACAAGGUUUCCGUAGGUGAGCCUGCGGAAGGAUCAUUACUAGAGCAAAGGAUAGACAGCGCCCGCGGAGCUCGCUCCCGGGGCUACCCUACUCCCGUAGGGUUUAGAGUCGUCGGGCCUCUCGGAGAAGCUCGGUCCUGAACUCCACCCUUGAAUAAACUACCUUUGUUGCUUUGGCGGGCCGCCUCGUGCCAGCGGCUUCGGCUGUUGAGUGCCCGCCGGAGGACCCCAACUCUUGUUUUUAGUGAUGUCUGAGUACUAUAUAAUAGUUAAAACUUUCAACAACGGAUCUCUUGGUUCUGGCAUCGAUGAAGAACGCAGCGAAAUGCGAUAAGUAAUGUGAAUUGCAGAAUUCAGUGAAUCAUCGAAUCUUUGAACGCACAUUGCGCCCUCUGGUAUUCCGGGGGGCAUGCCUGUUCGAGCGUCAUUUCAACCAUCAAGCUCUGCUUGGUAUUGGGUGCCACCGGCAUGGUGCGCCUUAAAGUCAAUGGAGUGCCAUCUGGCUUCAAGCGUAGUAAUACUUCUCGCUCUGGAGGCCCAGGUGUUUACUUGCCAAAACCCCCAUACUUUCUCAGGUCGACCUCGGAUCAGGUAGGGAU
rnacentral:rRNA from 1 species